UACGAAGGGGGCUAGCGUUGCUCGGAAUUACUGGGCGUAAAGGGCGCGUAGGCGGACAGUUUAGUCAGAGGUUAAAGCCCAGGGCUCAACCUUGGAAUCGCCUUUGAUACUGGCUGUCUUGAGUACGGGAGAGGUGUGUGGAACUCCGAGUGUAGAGGUGAAAUUCGUAGAUAUUCGGAAGAACACCAGUGGCGAAGGCGGCUCACUGGACCGGCAUUGACGCUGAGGUGCGAAAGCGUGGGGAGCAAACAGG
rnacentral:rRNA from 1 species